AGGAAAACCACAGGUCGACAUUGUUUAUCCUGAGGUAGAACAAAGCUACCCAGAGGUGGAUCAAACUUAUACAGAGGUGGAUCAAACUUAUCCAGAGGUAGAUCCAGUUUAUCCAGAGCCUGACUACUAUUAUCCAGAACCAGAACCUGAACCAG